CACCCUACUUCUUUCUCUGACACUUGUCCAAAACUCAAGGUUUCUGGUCAUUCCAAUUUUUCAUUUUUGAAUUGUCCAUUCUGUCCUUAGCUUUUUACACCUAUAUCACACAACCCAACCCAUUCAUCUUUUUGUCUUUUGAACUUUCCCGUUGCUUUCCGGUUCCGCACAGAUUGAAUGGAUUUUUGUUCUACGAUUUUCUUAAUCAAACACAAAGACAACGUUUAAAGUUAGUAAAAGGGUAUUUUUUUUUGUUGUAGAGGUCUGUUUUGUUUAUUUUUGUCAUGGUUGUAGUUCUUAUUGUCGUUGGUUUGUAUGUGAUGUGAAUUUAUAUCUGUGUAGAACUUUUACAUUUUGCUUGUGAUUCCUUUUCUAUAGCUUUUUGGUGUAGCACUUCGUUGAAAAAGGUCCCAUACGAUCGGUACCUUUUUCCGAAAAGGUUUCGUCUGAUAUGUAGACAUAUUCCUGUGGUAUUCUCGUAGCAAGUGAACAACUCUCUUGUGUUGUCAACCCCAGAUGCACCGAAGUCAGCAUAUAUUGCGUCUAUGGGGGUUUACGUAUUCAAGACUGACGUUUUACUCAAUCUUCUCAACUGUAGGCAUCCACCUCCAAUGACUUGAGAUCUAAAAUCAUCCCUGCAGCUUAGUACUUUUUCAUAGAUUAUUAGGAAGAUAUUGGAACAAUAAAAUCCUUGUAUGACGCUAACUUGGCUCUUACUGAAGAGAGUCACAAGUUCGAGUUUUAUUACCCCAAGACUCCCAUUUACACAUCUCCAGGAUCCUACCACCAACUAAGAUUGACAAAUGUCGGAUUAUGGAUGUCAUUAUCUCUCAUGCAUAUUUCCUGCGAGAAUGGACAGUCCAAGCAAUAUGGAGGAGUUGCAAAAUGUAGCAGCAAAAUUGCCAACAGAAAAGUGGUUAGAUUUGGCAUGUGUUUUGGUCAUUCCAAUUCUUCAUCUGCGAAUUGCUCAUUGUUGCGGCUAAGAAAUUUGGGUUGGAAGCAACUAUCCAGGUGAUGGAUCUGCAAGUUUUUGCUAUGUCGUGUAUUACUUUGAAACCUUUGGUUCCAAGUUUUUAUGAGGGUUCACAAAUUUGCUGAUUUCGUUGUUUUACUCGGUUGCUUCAGGGGUUCGCCGGAACGACAGUUGAUGCUCGCUUCGAUCCAACAUCCUUAAUCACUCAGUUGCUCUCCAGAGACGAUGUAAACCUGUACGCGAAAUCUAC